AUGUUUCAUGUCUUGUCUUCCUGUUUUAUUUUGCGAUCACUCACCUCUGUCUCUGUUCCAGGUUCCUGUCUGUCCUGCCUCCUCCUCGUCUGUGCACACCUGAUCCCUGAUUGUUUCUCCCACACCUGUCUCUUAUCACUCCCCAUUAGUCUUGUGUAUAUAUACCCUCUUGUGUCUUGUCUUGUUGUUCAUAGCUUCACGUUCCAGCAUUAUUCACAGCCAUAGUCUUUGCCUCUUAGUGUUUGAUCUCUGCUCGUUUUUGACCUCGUCUUUUUGCCUCUCGACUUUGAUACUUUUGCCUGGUUUGACUGCCUUUUUUGUGUACCGACCUCUGCCCGGAAUAAACCUUGUUUUCUGCUCUACCGACUCGAGUCGUGCACGGACAUCACUGCUUCUGCAGUUACGAUUCACUGAUGGGAAACUCUAACUUCAACCUGACCUGAAGGACCCUCUACUGAUGACUUUGAGAAGAAUUACAGGAGCUGCUUUGGAUGUCGAGCUGAGAAGGUUAAAGACUCCAUGGCGCUAAACCUGGACUGACGGGACACUGGAGAGGAUGACCGGCUGUCACACAAGUGGACAAUGGCAGACAACUACUUCCAAAGAAGCAACUGAAAGUAAGUAAAAGUGCAUGAAGAAAAAGGUAUUUUUACUUUUUAGUUCUAAACUUAAAUACAUUCAGAUAUUGGCAGAUGUGAUAAAGGAGUGUCCCCAAGACAAGAAAUAGAGAUGGAAAAGAGAGCCAAAGCAAGACAGAGGUUCUAACUGUCGGAGACAAAUGAUGCAUAGGAAGUAGCAAACUGACAGAUUGUAAUGUUUAACAGCCUUUUUGUUCCCUUUGGAUGGUCUGCAUUCUUUUGAGCUCUGAAUUUCUUGAAUAUAAUCUGAGGACAUUUUUCUGAACAGAAGUAUAGCUGCGUUGCAAAAGUUACACAAGUUAGACUCCUUACUGUUGCCAAAAAUAUUUUCCUCCUGAGCAAACCACAACCGUCCUGCCAGAGCGAACCACACGAUCAUUUAUCCAAAAAAUAUCUUUUGAAAGAGUCUCAGAAAGACUUCCAGCAAUCAUGAAUGAGUGAUGAUAUCUCAACCACUCUGACACAGAAAAAAAAUCACAUGCCUGAUCUUUUGGGAGAAAUUUCUCUUCAGUUAUGAAUAAUCUGUUUCUACACUCCCAAAGUUAUAACAGAUUUUUAAAAAAACUGAAAAACAUUUUGUUCUGCAGUCCGAAACACAUAGUCGGCACCCCUGUCUGCAGCUCAGAGAACUGACCUCGCUGAACCUGCUGUGUUCUUUAACCGUACACUUGAAGUUUCCAAUGAAAAUGUGACAGAUUUUCCACAAAACUUUCAAUCAAUCAAUCAAUCAAUCAAUGGCUUGUUAAUUUCAGAA